rnacentral:rRNA from 1 species
AGAGUUUGAUCCUGGCUCAGGAUGAACGCUGGCGGCAUGCCUAAUACAUGCAAGUCGAACGAGGGUCCUUCGGGACUCGAGUGGCGAACGGGUGAGUAACACGUAGGGAACCUGCCCGUGCGACCGGGAGAACUUUCGGAAACGGAAGCUGAUACCGGAUAGGGACAGAGACGGCAUCGACUCUGUGUUAAAGGAGCUGAAAGGCUCCGCGCACGGAUGGACCUGCGGUGCAUUAGCUGGUUGGUGAGGUAACGGCCCACCAAGGCGACGAUGCAUAGCCGGCCUGAGAGGGCGGACGGCCACACUGGGACUGAGACACGGCCCAGACUCCUACGGGAGGCAGCAGUAGGGAAUUUUCGUCAAUGGGCGCAAGCCUGAACGAGCAAUGCCGCGUGAACGAGGAAGGUCUUCGGAUCGUAAAGUUCUGUUGAAGGGGAAAAAGAGUGGAGAGAGGAAAUGAACUCCGAUUGAUAUUACCCUUCGAGGAAGUCACGGCUAACUACGUGCCAGCAGCCGCGGUAAUACGUAGGUGGCGAGCGUUAUCCGGAAUGAUUGGGCGUAAAGGGUGCGUAGGCGGCCUGCUAAGUCUGGAGUGAAAGGUACCGGCUCAACCGGUACAGGCUCUGGAAACUGGCGGGCUAGAGAGCAGGAGAGGGCGGUGGAACUCCAUGUGUAGCGGUAAAAUGCGUAGAUAUAUGGAAGAACACCAGUGGCGAAGGCGGCCGCCUGGCCUGUUACUGACGCUGAGGCACGAAAGCGUGGGGAGCAAAUAGGAUUAGAUACCCUAGUAGUCCACGCCGUAAACGAUGAGGACCAAGUGUUGGGGAAGACCCAGUGCUGCAGUUAACGCAGUGAGUCCUCCGCCUGGGGAGUAUGCACGCAAGUGUGAAACUCAAAGGAAUUGACGGGGGCCCGCACAAGCGGUGGAGUAUGUGGUUUAAUUCGAAGCAACGCGAAGAACCUUACCAGGCCUUGACAUAGGGUGCGAAGCUAUGGAGACAUAGUGGAGGUAAACAUCCAUACAGGUGGUGCAUGGUUGUCGUCAGCUCGUGUCGUGAGAUGUUCAGUUAAGUCUGGCAACGAGCGCAACCCUCGUGAUGUGUUACCAAUAUCGAGUUAGGGACUCACAUCAGACUGCCGGUGAGAAACCGGAGGAAGGCGGGGAUGACGUCAAAUCAUCAUGCCCCUUAUGGCCUGGGCUACACACGUACUACAAUGGCGGCGACAGAGGGCAGCGAGCCUGCGAAGGCAAGCGAAUCCCCAAAAAGCCGUCCUAGUUCGGAUUGGAGUCUGCAACCCGACUCCAUGAAGUUGGAAUCGCUAGUAAUCGCGGAUCAGCAUGCCGCGGUGAAUACGUUCUCGGGCCUUGUACUCACCGCCCGUCA